UGGGGCAUAUUGCACAAUGGGCGCAAGCCUGAUGCAGCCAUGCCGCGUGUAUGAAGAAGGCCUUCGGGUUGUAAAGUACUUUCAGCGGGGAGGAAGGUGUUGUGGUUAAUAACCACAGCAAUUGACGUUACCCGCAGAAGAAGCACCGGCUAACUCCGUGCCAGCAGCCGCGGUAAUACGGAGGGUGCAAGCGUUAAUCGGAAUUACUGGGCGUAAAGCGCACGCAGGCGGUCUGUCAAGUCGGAUGUGAAAUCCCCGGGCUCAACCUGGGAACUGCAUUCGAAACUGGCAGGCUAGAGUCUUGUAGAGGGGGGUAGAAUUCCAGGUGUAGCGGUGAAAUGCGUAGAGAUCUGGAGGAAUACCGGUGGCGAAGGCGGCCCCCUGGACAAAGACUGACGCUCAGGUGCGAAAGCGUGGGGAGCAAACA
rnacentral:rRNA from 1 species